GGGGAUAUGGUGUAGGGGUAUCACGUCUGCUUUGCAUGCAGAAGGCCCGGGGUUCAAAUCCCCGUGUCUCCA
rnacentral:tRNA from 3 species